GGCGGACGGGUGAGUAACGCGUAAAGAACUUGCCCUUUAGACUGGGAUAACAGAGGGAAACUUCUGAUAAUACUGGAUAAGUUAGUAUAUCGCAUGAUAUACAAAUGAAAGCUACGGCACUAAAGGAGAGCUUUGCGUCCUAUUAGCUAGUUGGUAAGGUAAGAGCUUACCAAGGCGAUGAUAGGUAGCCGGCCUGAGAGGGUGGACGGCCACAAGGGGACUGAGAUACGGCCCUUACUCCUACGGGAGGCAGCAGAU
rnacentral:rRNA from 1 species